AACGAACGCUGGCGGCAUGCCUAACACAUGCAAGUCGAACGAGACCUUCGGGUCUAGUGGCGCACGGGUGCGUAACGCGUAGGAACCUGCCCUUAGGUUCGGAAUAACUCCCCGAAAGGGGUGCUAAUACCGGAUAAUGUCUUCGGACCAAAGAUUUAUCGCCUUUGGAUGGGCCCGCGUUGGAUUAGCUAGUUGGUAGGGUAAAAGCCUACCAAGGCGACGAUCCAUAGCUGGUCUGAGAGGAUGAUCAGCCACACUGGGACUGAGACACGGCCCAGACUCCUACGGGAGGCAGCAGUGGGGAAUAGUGGACAAUGGGCGAAAGCCUGAUCCAGCAAUGCCGCGUGAGUGAUGAAGGCCUUAGGGUUGUAAAGCUCUUUUAACCGGGAUGAUAAUGACAGUACCGGGAGAAUAAGCUCCGGCUAACUCCGUG
rnacentral:rRNA from 1 species